UCCGUGCUCCUAAACCGUUUUUGAUAAUGAAGUUUUCGAAUCAACGAUCAACUUCGUUAUAUUUGAUCUAGCGUCACUACAACAAAAACGGUAUAUAUAUAGCGACACUUUUAAAUGUAGGUACAUAUUAAAAAAGUGCUGCUAGCUAAAAUUACCGUCACUGUUAAAAAGUGUUGUUAUAUGUGGGGUCACUAGGAAUAUAGUGACAGUUAAAGAGUGUCGCUAUAACCUAAAAGAGUGCUGCUAAUUUACCAACACUUAUUUAAGCAUUUAGCAACCGCCGAAACUCUAUCUCGUUCGCUGCGGUGGCGGAGGAAGACGAUAGGAAAGGCUCUUCGUCUAGAAUUUCAGUGGAUUGAGUGAAGAGAGAAGAAAAGAUGGUAAUUGAUUUUUUCUUUUCCUUUUUUUCUUUUCUGUAUGUAAUCGGACCAAAUGGACUGGGUGCGGUGGGUUGAGUAGAAUAAUCUUUUAUUUUUGGUUGGAUUGGACUUUAUAUUUAGGCAUUAGUAGAUAUUUUUUUUUAAGUUUUAGCAUAAAUGGGACACUUACUCAAAAGUGUCCCAAACAUGUGUCCCUAUAAUCUAAUUCUGUUGUAGUGCGUAUUUGAAGUAUCUAGAAUAUAAAUUUUGUAAUUUUUUAAUAUCAUUUACAUAGCGAUCGAAAGGGUGCAAAAUCAACGACUGAAAAUAAAAAUCUCAUAAAAGGUGAUGAUAUAACACUGUAAUUUUCGAUCAGAAAUAUUGAUCUUGCUAUAAGUAGUAUAAAAAAUUUUCUAUCCAAAAUUUUAUCUGAUUUGAAUACUUCUACACCGUUAAACUUGCAAAUAGUAUACAUCAACCAUUAAAAAUUAUUGAUCGUUAGGUAAAUGAUAUCGAAAAAUCGUAAAAUUUAUUUUCUAUAUAUUUCAAAUACGCUAAAUCAAGUUUAACGGAGUUGAUCGUCGAUUCGAAAUCUCCAUCAUAUAAAACGGUUUAGGAGUACGGACAA
rnacentral:lncRNA from 1 species